rnacentral:rRNA from 1 species
ACCUGGUUGAUUCUGCAGUAGUCAUAUGCUUGUCUCAAAGAUUAAGCCAUGCAUGUCUAAGUAUAAGCAAUUAUACAGCGAAACUGCGAAUGGCUCAUUAUAUAAGUUAUCGUUUAUUUGAUAGUACCUUACUACUUGGAUAACCGUGGAAUUCUAGAGCUAAUACAUGCUAAAAAUCCCGACUUCGGAAGGGAUGUAUUUAUUAGAUUAAAAACCAAUGCCCUUCGGGGCUCACUGGUGAUUCAUAAUAAUUCUCGAAUCGCAUGGCCUUGCGCCGGCGAUGGUUCAUUCAAAUUUCUUCCCUAUCAACUUUCGAUCUAGAGUAGUGUUCUAGCAUGGUUACAACGGUAACGGAGGUUAGGCUCGACCCCGGAGAAGGAGCCUGAAAACGGCUACUACAUCCAAGGAAGGCAGCAGGCGCGCAAAUUACCCAAUCCCGACACGGGAGGUAGUGACGAUAAAUACUGAUACAGGCUCUUUUGGUCUUGUAAUUGGAAUGAGUACAAUUUAAAUCCCUAACGAGAACAAUUGGAGGCAAGUCUGUGCCAGCAGCCCGGUAAUUCCAGCUCCAAUAGCGUAUAUUAAAUUGUUUGGUUAAAAAGCUCGUAGUAGAACCUUGGCCUGGCUGGCCGUCCGCCUCACCGCGUGCACUGGUCCGGCCGGCCUUUCCCUCUGUGGAACCGCAUGCCCUUCACUGGGUGCCGGGAAACAGACUUUACUUUGAAAAAUUAGAGUGCUCCAGGCAGGCCUAUCUCGAAUACAUUAGCAUGGAAUAAUAGAAUAGGACGUGUGUUCUAUUUGUUGGUUUCUAGACCGCCGUAAUGAUAAUAGGGACAGUCGGGGCUCAGUAUUCAAUUGUCAGAGGUGAAAUUCUUGGAUUUAUUGAAGACUAACUACUGCGAAAGCAUUUGCCAAGAUUUUCAUUAUCAGGAACGAAAGUUAGGGAUCGAAGACGAUCAAUACCGUCGUAGUCUUAACCAUAAACUAUGCCGACUAGGGAUCGGACGAUGUUAUUUUUUGACUCGUUCGGCACCUUACGAGAAAUCAAAUGCUUGGCUCCAGGGGAGUAUGUCGCAAGGCUAAACUUAAAGAAAUUGACGGAAGGCACCACCAGGGGGAGCCUGCGGCUUAAUUUGACUCAACACGGGAAACUCACCAGGUCCAGACACAAUGAGGAUUGACAGAUGAGAGCUCUUUCUUGAUUUUGUGGUGUGGUCAUGGCCGUUCUUAGUUGGUGAGUGAUUUGUCUGCUUAAUUGCGAUAACGAACGAGACCUUAACCUGCUAAAUAGCCCGUAUUGCUUUGGCAGUACGCCGGCUUCUUAGAGGACUAUCGGCUCAAGCCGAUGGAAGUUUGAGGCAAUAAACAGGUCUUGAUGCCCUUAGAUUUCUGGCCGCACGCGCUUACACUGACGGAGCCAGCGAUACUCCCUUGGCCGGAAGGCCCGGUAAUCUUGUUAAACUCGUCGUGCUGGGAUAGAGCAUUGCAAUUAUUGCUCUCAACGAGGAAUCCCUAGUAAGCGCAAGUCAUCAGCUUGCGUUGAUUACGUCCCUGCCCUUUGUACACACCCGCCCGUCGCUACUACAUGAAGCUCAUGAGGCUUUCGGACUGGCCCAGAGAGGUGGCAACUACCACUCACGCGAAAGUAUCCAAACUCGGUCAUUUAAGGAAGUAAAAUCGUAACAAGUCUCCGUUGGUGAACCAGCGGAGGAUCAUU